GAUGAACGCUGGCGGCGUGCCUAAUACAUGCAAGUCGAACGAGUUCUGAUUAUUGAAAGGUGCUUGCAUCUUGAUUUAAUUUUGAACGAGUGGCGGACGGGUGAGUAACACGUGGGUAACCUGCCCUUAAGUGGGGGAUAACAUUUGGAAACAGAUGCUAAUACCGCAUAAAUCCAAGAACCGCAUGGUUCUUGGCUGAAAGAUGGCGUAAGCUAUCGCUUUUGGAUGGACCCGCGGCGUAUUAGCUAGUUGGUGAGGUAACGGCUCACCAAGGCGAUGAUACGUAGCCGAACUGAGAGGUUGAUCGGCCACAUUGGGACUGAGACACGGCCCAAACUCCUACGGGAGGCAGCAGUAGGGAAUCUUCCACAAUGGACGCAAGUCUGAUGGAGCAACGCCGCGUGAGUGAAGAAGGCUUUCGGGUCGUAAAACUCUGUUGUUGGAGAAGAAUGGUCGGCAGAGUAACUGUUGUCGGCGUGACGGUAUCCAACCAGAAAGCCACGGCUAACUACGUGCCAGCAGCCGCGGUAAUACGUAGGUGGCAAGCGUUAUCCGGAUUUAUUGGGCGUAAAGCGAGCGCAGGCGGUUUUUUAAGUCUGAUGUGAAAGCCCUCGGCUUAACCGAGGAAGUGCAUCGGAAACUGGGAAACUUGAGUGCAGAAGAGGACAGUGGAACUCCAUGUGUAGCGGUGAAAUGCGUAGAUAUAUGGAAGAACACCAGUGGCGAAGGCGGCUGUCUGGUCUGUAACUGACGCUGAGGCUCGAAAGCAUGGGUAGCGAACAGGAUUAGAUACCCUGGUAGUCCAUGCCGUAAACGAUGAAUGCUAGGUGUUGGAGGGUUUCCGCCCUUCAGUGCCGCAGCUAACGCAUUAAGCAUUCCGCCUGGGGAGUACGACCGCAAGGUUGAAACUCAAAGGAAUUGACGGGGGCCCGCACAAGCGGUGGAGCAUGUGGUUUAAUUCGAAGCAACGCGAAGAACCUUACCAGGUCUUGACAUCUUUUGAUCACCUGAGAGAUCAGGUUUCCCCUUCGGGGGCAAAAUGACAGGUGGUGCAUGGUUGUCGUCAGCUCGUGUCGUGAGAUGUUGGGUUAAGUCCCGCAACGAGCGCAACCCUUAUGACUAGUUGCCAGCAUUUAGUUGGGCACUCUAGUAAGACUGCCGGUGACAAACCGGAGGAAGGUGGGGAUGACGUCAAAUCAUCAUGCCCCUUAUGACCUGGGCUACACACGUGCUACAAUGGAUGGUACAACGAGUUGCGAGACCGCGAGGUCAAGCUAAUCUCUUAAAGCCAUUCUCAGUUCGGACUGUAGGCUGCAACUCGCCUACACGAAGUCGGAAUCGCUAGUAAUCGCGGAUCAGCACGCCGCGGUGAAUACGUUCCCGGGCCUUGUACACACCGCCCGUCACACCAUGAGAGUUUGUAACACCCGAAGCCGGUGGCGUAACCCUUUUAGGGAGCGAGCCGUCUAAGGUGGGACAAAUGAUUAGGGUG
rnacentral:rRNA from 1 species